rnacentral:misc_RNA from 1 species
GUGAAUCAUCGAAUCUUUGAACGCACAUUGCGCCCGCCAGCAUUCUGGCGGGCAUGCCUGUCCGAGCGUCAUUUCAACCCUCGAGCCCCCCGGGCUUGGUGUUGGGGACCGGCCUCGCGCCGCCCCCGAAAUGCAGUGGCGACCUCGCCGCAGCCUCCCCUGCGUAGUAGCACAACCUCGCACCGGAGCGCGGAGACGGUCACGCCGUGAAACGCCCAACUUUCAAGAGUUGACCUCGGAUCAGGUAGGAAUACCCGCUGAACUUAAGCAUAUCAAUAAGCGGAGGA